AACGAACGCUGGCGGCGCGUCUUAACCAUGCAAGUCGAGCGGCAGGCAGCAAUGCCGAGAGCGGCGGACUGGUGAGUAACACGUGGAUAACGUACCCCGAUGUCCGGGACAGCCUGUAGAAAUAGAGGGUGAUACCGGAUAGAUCACUGUAUACGGAAGGUAGACAGCGGGAAAGGAGCUUCGGCUCCGCGCCGGGAACGGUCUGCGGCCCAUCAGCUGGACGGCGGGGUAACGGCCCGCCGUGGCGAGGACGGGUAUCCGGCCUGAGAGGGCGGACGGACACAUUGGGACUGAGAUACGGCCCAGACUCCUACGGGAGGCAGCAGGUAAGAAUAUUCCGCAAUGGGGGAAACCCUGACGGAGCGACGCCGCGUGAACGAGGAAGGCCGGAAGGUUGUAAAGUUCUUUUCUGUCCGAGGAAUAAGUGUAGGAGGAAAUGCCUGCAUGGUGACGGUAGGGCAGGAAUAAGCACCGCUAAUUAC
rnacentral:rRNA from 1 species